UACAGCGAGUGCAAGCGUUAGUCGGAAUUACUGGGCGUAAAGCGCACGUAGGUGGAUGCUUAAGUCGGAUGUGAAAUCCCCGAGCUUACCUUGGGAAUGGCAUUCGAUACUGGCGUCUAGAAUAUGGUAGAGGGAAGUGGAAUUUCUAGUGUAGCGGUGAAAUGCGUAGAUAUCAGAAGGAACAUCAGUGGCGAAAGCGGCUUCCGGGACCAAUAUUGACACUUAGGUGCGAAAGCGUGGGGAGCAAACAGG
rnacentral:rRNA from 1 species